rnacentral:rRNA from 1 species
UUUUAUAUGAGAGUUUGAUCCUGGCUCAGGACGAACGCUGGCGGCGUGCCUAAUACAUGCAAGUCGAACGCACGA